GGGGUGUUAGCUCAGCUGGGAGAGCACCUGCCUUGCACGCAGGGGGUCAUCGGUUCGAUCCCGAUACGCUCCA
rfam:Eubacterium biforme DSM 3989 Scfld14 genomic scaffold, whole genome shotgun sequence.